rnacentral:lncRNA from 1 species
AUUUGAUGUGUAACAAACUGCUGGGAAAUUCAGCAUGCCACUUUGAUCUCUCUGAUGUCACUCAAGAGGAACUGAAGUAGUAGAAUGGGAUCAUACCUCUGAAACUGGAGUAGAAAGAAGAUAUUAGUUAUCAUAAUGUGCAUGAACUUGGACUUCAAUGUAAAAUUUAUAAAGAAGAUACAAAUGAAUGGUUUCUACUAAAUAAGGGCUAAGAGGUACAGGCAGAGUCAGAAGGAGUGCAGGAACCGAAUGGAUCAGCACUACAGCUCUUUUGUGGGGAACUUGGGUACUUUAGCCAAGAGGGCUGGCAGUUUGGUACAUCCCACAAACAUCAAAGUCAUGGGAUGGGACUCGUUUGUGUUGCUUACAUCAUAUGCUGGAUUUAGACGACCUCCAGUGUUACCAUGGCAACGGUUUCUGCUUAAGUAUAGGUGAGAAUGUAAGUUAAUUUUAAAUAAGGUGAAAUGAAGGAGGGGGUGAAUAAAGCUCUCAAAAGCAUUUGAAGCCA